CGCGUAAAGAACUUGCCUCACAGCUAGGGACAACAUUUAGAAAUGAAUGCUAAUACCUGAUAUUAUGAUUUUAAGGCAUCUUAGAAUUAUGAAAGCUAUAAGCACUGUGAGAGAGCUUUGCGUCCCAUUAGCUAGUUGGAGAGGUAACAGCUCACCAAGGCGAUGAUGGGUAGCCGGCCUGAGAGGGUGAACGGCCACAAGGGAACUGAGACACGGCCCUU
rnacentral:rRNA from 1 species